UACGUAGGGUGCGAGCGUUGUCCGGAAUUAUUGGGCGUAAAGAGCUCGUAGGCGGUCUGUCGCGUCGAUCGUGAAAACUUGGGGCUUAACCCUGAGCUUGCGGUCGAUACGGGCAUGACUGGAGUUCGGCAGGGGAGACUGGAAUUCUCGGUGUAGCGGUGAAAUGCGUAGAUAUCGAGAGGAACACCUGCGGCGAAGGCGGGUUGCUGGGCUGACACUGACGCUGAGGCGCGAAAGCUAGGGGAGCGAACGGG
rnacentral:rRNA from 1 species